rnacentral:rRNA from 1 species
CUACGGGAGGCUGCAGUAAGGAAUAUUGGUCAAUGGGCGCAAGCCUGAACCAGCCAUGCCGCGUGCAGGAAGAAGGCCUAUUGGGUUGUAAACUGCUUUUUUAUGGGAGUAAUAGACUUUUGCGAAAGUUGAUGAAAUUACCAUAAGAAUAAGUACCGGCUAACUCCGUGCCAGCAGCCGCGGUAAUACGGAGGGUACAAGCGUUGUUCGGAUUUACUGGGUUUAAAGGGUGCGUAGGCGGCGCGACAAGUCAAUGGUGAAAUCCUAUGGCUCAACCAUAGAACUGCUGUUGAAACUGUCGUGCUAGAGUAAAGAAGAGGUAAGUGGAAUUUAUGGUGUAGCGGUGAAAUGCUUAGAUAUCAUAAGGAAGACCGAUAGCGAAGGCAACUUACUGGUAUUUUACUGACGCUGAGGCACGAAAGCGUGGGGAGCGAACAGGGUUAGAUACCCGCGUAGUC